GACGAACGCUGGCGGCGUGCUUAACACAUGCAAGUCGAACGGUAAGGCUCCAGCUUGCUGGGGUACACGAGUGGCGAUCGGGUGGGUAACACGUGGGUGACCUGCCCUGCACUUCGGGAUAAGCCUGGGAAACUGGGUCUAAUACCGGAUAGGACCAUGGUGUGGAUACUGUGGUGGAAAGUUUUUUCGGUGUGGGAUGGGCCCGCGGCCUAUCAGCUUGUUGGUGGGGUAAUGGCCUACCAAGGCGGCGACGGGUAGCCGGCCUGAGAGGGUGGACGGCCACAUUGGGACUGAGACACGGCCCAGACUCCUACGGGAGGCAGCAGUGGGGAAUAUUGCACAAUGGGCGGAAGCCUGAUGCAGCGACGCCGCGUGGGGGAUGACGGCCUUCGGGUUGUAAACUCCUUUCACCAUCGACGAAGGGUUUCUGACGGUAGAUGGAGAAGAAGCACCGGCUAACUACGUG
rnacentral:rRNA from 1 species